AAGAUCGUACUUCACAGGAUCAUUUCUGUAGUACAUCUAUCGUCAACUUCAACCUACAGUUGAGUCGAUGCAGCCACGAUGACGAGUCGUGGCACCUUUCCUUGAGCGUGAGGAAGACUCGAGAAANUCGACUUUGUUUCGAUUUUUCAGUCAUCGAUGAUCGUUCACCUCUUGUACUCAGUACAUGAGGGAUGGGAAAGGUGCAUUCUGAGUGGU